CGCCCCACCUCGGGGUGCGCGAGCGGUCGUGCUGAGAUGCCUAUGGGCGAACCCGCUGAACCUGAACCGGAUUAUACCGGCGUAGGGAAGGUUUGGUAUGACAAG
rnacentral:ncRNA from 2 species